rnacentral:rRNA from 1 species
AUGGUGGACGCUGCAAUCAAAAUUUUGCCGGGCUGGCAAAGGGGAAUGAUCACUAGACCGGGCAGGCUCAUACUGGUCAACCAAGUGAUGCGUGCAAGACCCACACACCACCUGAUUGUUUCGGAAGCACCUAAGUGGGCAUUGGACAAGGUAGACAAGGGUUGCAGAGCCAUCUUCUGGGCGGGCUCGGAGGAAGUCAGCGCAGGCAAGUGUGUGGUAUCUUGGCAGAGAGUAUGCAAACCAAAAUACCUUGGAGGACUAGGAGUGAUGGACUUGGGCAAACACGGCCUUGCGCUUCUCUUGCGGUGGGAAUGGUUAAGAAGAACAGAUAGCUCACGGCCGUGGCAGGGACUCAACUUGACGCCAGAUCGAAAUGUACAGCAGGCGUUCAACAGUUUAGUCAAGUGGAAGCUAGGAGAUGGAGCUCAGAUUCUGUUCUGGAAGGACAGAUGGAUCAACGGUGCAUGCAUUGCGGAGGUGGCACCCUUGAUCGUGCUCAAAGUCAAGACCCAAGUGAGGAACAGAAGAGUGGUGCAGGAGGGUUUGCUAUCCCAUGCUUGGACUAUGGAUAUCACAGGUGAGAUGUCCACAGAUGAAUUGGCACAAUUCAUCCGGCUAUGGGAAGUGCUGAUUGAGGUACAUCCAAUCCCGGAUCAGGAGGAUAUGGCUGUUUGGGAGUGGUGUGUGGACAGAAAAUACACAGCAGCCUCGGCAUACAAAAUGUUCUGUGAGGGAGGGAUCUGGUUCCAGUCGUAUAGAGGCAUAUGGAAGAGUUGGGCUCCGCUAUCUUGCAAGAUAUUUAUGUGGUUGGCAGUUCAGUACCGAGUCUGGACUUCGGAUAGAAGACUCAGACAUGGCCUGCAGGAGGAAACCUCACCGUGCUAUUUUUGCGACCAAGAGGAAGAUACGGUGGAUCACUUGCUGCUGCAAUGCGUGUUCGCGAGGCACGUGUGGUAUCUAUGCUUUGCUAAAGUUGGGGUGGAGCUGGCACUCUUACCCUCGGUGCAGUCCAGGCUGGAAGAGUGGUGGGAGACGAGAAGGAAGCGGAUUACCAAAGCUAACAGGAAAGGUUUUGACUCCUUCGUCAUGAUGAUCUGUUGGACACUUUGGAAGCAGCGGAAUGCACGAGUAUUCAGAAAUACGAAUGAUGUGAGGGAUGCUCGGGGUACUAUGGAAAUCAUCUUUCAAGAGUUGAAGUUGUGGGAAUUGGCAGGAGGCUCGGGAGUGUCUACGUUUUGUGAGUAA